rnacentral:rRNA from 1 species
AUUGAACGCUGGCGGCAUGCCUUACACAUGCAAGUCGAACGGCAGCACGGGUGCUUGCACCUGGUGGCGAGUGGCGAACGGGUGAGUAAUAUAUCGGAACGUACCUUAUCGUGGGGGAUAACGCAGCGAAAGCUGCGCUAAUACCGCAUACGCCCUGAGGGGGAAAGCGGGGGACCGUAAGGCCUCGCGCGAUUAGAGCGGCCGAUAUCUGAUUAGCUUGUUGGUGGGGUAAAAGCCCACCAAGGCGACGAUCAGUAGCUGGUCUGAGAGGACGACCAGCCACACUGGGACUGAGACACGGCCCAGACUCCUACGGGAGGCAGCAGUAAGGAAUAUUGGUCAAUGGGCGAAAGCCUGAUCCAGCCAUUCCGCGUGCAGGAUGAAGGCCCUCGGGUUGUAAACUGCUUUGUACAGAACGAAAGGUUCUACUAAUACUAGGAGCGUCAUGACGGUACUGUAAGAAUAAGCACCGGCUAACUACGUG